AUGGCUCCCACCUCCAGCUCCUUUAAAACUAGCCUUAUCUCUCACUACCCAACCGCCGAGGGCCUUCUUCUUGGAGCCUUCAGGCACCGCCCAAUCGCCGGUCCCCGUCUUCCGGGGUGGUGAGAAACUAAGUGAAGCCUCCUGGCAGCCAUCUUUCCUAGGGGCAAGAAGCCAAAUUGGGCAGCGCCGCCAUUAUAGUUGAGGGCUAGCGCUAUCCAAGAUGAACCCAAGUGGACCGGAUUGCGUCAUCUUCUGAAGGCCGGUCAGUGGUCGAAAACUAUGCCAAGUUUCUUGAGCUAUUGAGGUAACUGUAGUGAAGCUAGAGUGUCGCCACGUUUUUUAAGGGCACCUUCCGGUUCUUUCGUUCUUAAACAUGAGUGCUAACGAAUGUGAAAUUCCGUUUCCUAGAGAGAUCCCACUGAGGCCGGUUCCAGUACCUCCUGGGUGCCUCAGCCCAGUUCUCACGUCGCCGAGAAGAGUUUGGGAGGGGGCGGCGGGGACCAGAGACUAGGGCUAGUGCCGCCUCCAGCAUCGUUGCUUGCUCAGUCCUGGAGAGACUGGGCGGAGCCAAAGUGAGGAGGAGGCUGGGGGCGUUGAGCUUCACUUCGACUUCACCCAAGUGUCGUGCGCCUCAUCCUGGAGGGUUGGCGGUGUUCUGCGGCCUGCCAGAGGGCUCAGUAUAGGAGUGUCAAAGAGGGAGGGCAGUAACGACCUUGGCAUGCUUGUUGAAGUCCGGCCACUUUCUUCUCUAUUCCGGGCUCCCACAACCCCUCUUUGAAGAGUGGCCUGCCCCCUUAGUAGUGAGGGCAUUGGAAAGGCUGCGUCAUGAAUUCUUUACCAGGGGCUAGGCUGUUCGUGGGGAGGACGUGGGCACAUACUUAUUGCACUGUGAAGGCACCCUCACCGGCUAACCAAAACCCGUGCCUCCACUAGUUCUCCUUCCCCAGGAUUCCCUGAGCUGUUUUCUUGAUAGAAUAAAAAAUCCUGAAGCCUAGAAUCUUGGGUCUGAGAUGAAGGUGCAGAGUCAUCUACCCAGCCCAGCAUAAUUCCUUCUUAAAGGAGUGAGUGAUAAUUAGACACAGAAAGGAUAAGGAAGGAGAAGAAUUAGCAAGAGCUGAUGUGAAAAGUGAGGACUCCCCAACUCUGUAACCAAGGACUCAUCCAGAUAGUUCUUCCAUGACUACACUGACUGUCUUUGUACUGUGAGGCCUGCUGGGUCCUCUGGAAAUACAUAAUGAGACUACUGGUGGAAAGCUCUUAGAGCUGGAGAUGUCUCUCUUCCCCUAUAUCAGGACUGGUUGUAUGGUGCCUGAGUUACUGGAGAACAAGGGGGUGGGGAACUGGUAUGGUGGUGCUUCCAGCUGUCAGUGCUUGGAGGCCCUCUGGAGGCUCUCACUUUCCUCCUCAAACACACAGGUGCUUCCCACCAAGAAAAGCUUUCAAGAGCAGAACAUGCCUUAUCUGAAUUUUGCUUCUCUAGGACUGCUGAAGAAGUCAAUACCUAGGGCAAAGGAAGUAGCCUGAAGAAAGGGCCUAGACCUGAGAAUCUGGUAGGGAGAGCCUAGCCCUACUAGCCUAACCUGGAGAGCUGGAGUUCAUCAAAUUGAAGUCUUUGUCCUCAGCCCAGGCCAGCAAGGCAAGCCCUCAUAGUCUCACGGUCUUGCCUCUGCCCUCAUUGUGACUACCAUUUCAAUAACUCCUAUCUUACCUACUGCCUAUGAACAGACUCUAGGGCAUGACCAGUGUAUGCUGAUCAAGUGGCAAGAGGCUCCACAGACUCCAGUGGGGCAGGUGAUGUAGUUGGAGAUUGGUACAACAUUCUUCAGAAAACGGCCCUUUGACUCUGGGUCUCUCAACUGCUUAACGGUUCUUGGCGUUAGUGGUCUCAUUUGUAAAAUGGAAACAACAAAUGCCAUUGUGUCUUUCAAAAUAGAAGAUCAAGAUGAAGUGAGAAGAUAUAUCUGAAUGUGUCUGAUAAAUAUGAAAAGACAGGAAUAGCAACUGGGGUACUGGUCCAGCCAGUAGGACCCAGACACCAACCGGUUGCUUUCCUGUCAAAACAACUGGAUCCCACCGCCAAGGGGUGGCAACCCUGCCUUAGAGCCCUGGCAGCAACAGCGUGCCUCGCCAAAGAAGCUCUGAAACUAACCCUCCUACAGGCGGUUGGAUCGAGGCCUUUCCUAACUGCCAAGAGACUGCGUCAGUGGUGGCAAAGACGUUGGUGGAACACAUCAUCCUUCGUUUUGGCCUCCCAACGUUGCUCCAGUCAGACAACAGACAGGCUUUCAUCUCAAAGGUCACAUAACUGGUGACUGACUCUCUAAAUAUCUCCUGGAAACUACAAAUACCCUAUCACCCUCAAUCCUCGGGUAAGGUGGAAAGGGCCAAUGGCCUUCUCAAGGAUCAACUUACCAAACUCUCCUUAGAGGUAAAGACCUCUUGGCCAGAUCUAUUCCCAAUUGCUCUCACCCAAUUGCGAGCAGCCCCUAAGGGGGCCCACUGGACUAAGUGCCUUUGAGUUAAUGUAUGGUUGACCCUUCCUUCUAAACACAGGCCUGCCUACAACUCCACCCCCUCUAGCCUCCUACCUACCUUACUUCUCACUCCUAAGACAUCUCAGGGAACACGCAGACCAGUUCCUGCCUCAACCCACCUCCCCCUCAGAUCCAGGAAUCAAGGAGGUUCUACAGCUGGGAGACAAAGUCCUUCUUAAAGAACUUCAACCUCCGUCACUCCGCCCACGGUGGAUGGGACCAUACACGGUGAUCCUUACCACUCCCACUGUCAGUCCCCUCCAUUCCUCUAAGCCGCAGACAAGGGAGAAGACACGAUGAGUUGUCGAAGACCUGAAAGGACCAGCCAGGGGGCUCAAGGUGUAACAGCUCAAGAGCAAUGCUGAGAAAGCAUUUCUCAUAUUUAUUGAAUAAAUGAACUUACAAUGAACUCAAA